UACGGGAGAUGCGAGCGUUGUUCGGAAUCGACUGGGCUUAAAGCGCGUGUAGGCGGCUCGGUAAGUACCUUGUGAAAUCCCACGUCUCAAACGUGGAACUGCUUGGUGUACUGCCGUGCUCGAGGUUGGUAGAGGUGCCUGGAACUCUAGGUGGAGCGGUGAAAUGCGUAGAUAUCUAGAGGAACGCCCGUGGCGAAAGCGGGGGCACUGGGCCACACCUGACGCUGAGACGCGAAAGCGUGGAGAGCAAACGGGAUUAGAAACCCCGGUAGU
rnacentral:rRNA from 1 species